GACGAACGCUGGCGGCGUGCUUAACACAUGCAAGUCGAACGGAAAGGCCCUGCUUGCAGGGUACUCGAGUGGCGAACGGGUGAGUAACACGUGGGUGAUCUGCCCUGCACUUCGGGAUAAGCUUGGGAAACUGGGUCUAUUACCGGAUAGGAGCCAUCUUUAGUGUGGGGGUUGGAAAGUUUUUUGGGUGUAGGAUGAGUUCGCGGCCUAUUAGCUUGUUGGUGGGGUAAUGGCCUACCAAGGCGGCGACGGGUAGCCGGCCUGGGAGGGUGUACGGCCACAUUGGGACUGAGAUACGGCCCAGACUCCUACGGGGGGCAGCAGUGGGGAAUAUUGCACAAUGGGCGCAAGCCUGAUGCAGCGACGCCGCGUGGGGGAUGAAGGCCUUCGGGUUGUAAACUCCUUUCGCUAGGGACGAAGCUUUUUGUGACGGUACCUAGAUAAGAAGCACCGGCUAACUACGUG
rnacentral:rRNA from 1 species